rnacentral:rRNA from 1 species
GUGGGGAAUCUUGCGCAAUGGGCGAAAGCCUGACGCAGCCAUGCCGCGUGAAUGAUGAAGGUCUUAGGAUUGUAAAAUUCUUUCACCGGGGACGAUAAUGACGGUACCCGGAGAAGAAGCUCCGGCUAACUUCGAGCCAGCAGCCGCGGUAAUACGAAGGGGGCUAGCGUUGCUCGGAAUUACUGGGCGUAAAGGGCGCGUAGGCGGACAGCUUAGUCAGAGGUGAAAGCCCAGGGCUCAACCUUGGAAUUGCCUUUGAUACUGGCUGUCUUGAGUUUGGGAGAGGUGAGUGGAACUCCGAGUGUAGAGGUGAAAUUCGUAGAUAUUCGGAAGAACACCAGUGGCGAAGGCGACUCACUGGCCCAAUACUGACGCUGAGGCGCGAAAGCGUGGGGAGCAAACAGGAUUAGAAACCCGGGUAGUCC